rnacentral:rRNA from 1 species
AAUAUUGCACAAUGGGGGAAACCCUGAUGCAGCGACGCCGCGUGAGUGAAGAAGUAUUUCGGUAUGUAAAGCUCUAUCAGCAGGGAAGAGAAUGACGGUACAUAACUAAGAAGCCUCGGCGAACUACGUGGCAGCAGCCGCGGUAAUACGUAAGGGGCAAGCGUUAUCCGGAUUUACGGGGUGUAAAGGAAGCGUAGGUGGGUUGGUAAGUUAGAUGUGAAAGCGCGGGGCUCCACCCCGGGACGUCAUUUGAAACUAUCGAACUAGAGUGCAGGAGAGGUAAGUGGAAUUCCUAGUGUAGCGGUGAAAUGCGUAGAUAUGAGGAGGAACACCAGUGGCGAAGGCGGCUUACUGGACUGUAACUGACACUGAGGCUCGAAAGCGUGGGGAGCAAACAGG